CUUUUGAUUUGAAUUUAAGGUCUGGCCUGCUCAAUGAAUUUUUAAUAGCCGCAGUAUCUUAACUGUGCAAAGGUAGCAUAAUCAUUAGUUUUUUAAUUGAAAGCUAGAAUGAACGGUCGAAUGAGAAAAUUUCUGUCUCUAUAAAAAUUUUAUAGAAUUUUAUUUUUAAGUUAAAAAGCUUAAAUAUGGGUAAAAGACGAGAAGACCCUAUAGAGUUUAAUAUUUAUUAAUUAUUUUUUUUUUUAAUAUUUUAAGAUUAAUAAUUUUAUGGUAUUUAAUUGGGGUGAUUGGAAAAUUAAUUAAACUUUUCUUAUAAAUAGACAUUUAUUUAUGAAAUUAUGAUCCUUUAAUAAAGAUUAUAAGAUAAAAUUACCUUAGGGAUAACAGCGUAAUUUUUUUUAAGAGUUCUUAUCGAAAAAAAAGAUUGCGACCUCGAUGUUGGAUUAAAAUAAAUUUUUGGUGUAGAAGCUAAA
rnacentral:rRNA from 1 species